rnacentral:rRNA from 1 species
UACAGAGGGUGCAAGCGUUAAUCGGAAUUACUGGGCGUAAAGCGCUCGUAGGUGGAUCUUUAAGUCGAUUGUGAAAGCCCCGGGCUCAACCUGGGAAUUGCACUCGAAACUGUAGAUCUAGAGUAUGGUAGAGGAAAGUAGAAUUCCCGGUGUAGCGGUGAAAUGCGUAGAUAUCGGGAGGAAUACCAGUGGCGAAGGCGGCUUUCUGGACCAAUACUGACACUGAGGGGCGAAAGCGUGGGGAGCAAACAGG